rnacentral:lncRNA from 1 species
AAACUGAACUGUUAACACACCAAUUCCUAUAAAAUUCAUCUAGUGUUCCUGUAAUUGUCAUUCUUCCCUUUAUGUACCAAACUUUUAACAUAUUCUGAUGUUCAGGCAUUUCAAAUGUUCAGAUGGGAAUGUCUCAGCACUUUGACCAUCCGAAUCCUGUGAGGGAGAUGGAGUUCAGUUAUCAUGACAAAGCAACGGAGAACAAACAGGUUAAAUAAAGUGUUUUCACUUACUCAGAGGAAAAAUGCAAAAUACAAAUUUCUUUCCAUGAUCAAGAUUCUACUUUCUCCCUUUAUCUCUCCCUCAGAUGAUAAUUUGUGGUGUUUGUAAGACCAUCCUUAGAAAAGUGAUAACAUUUAUUGGAAAAACAGCUUCUAAGGAGGAGAUUAAUCAGAAGCUUGAUAGAAUCUGUCAAAAAAUAAGAAUAAGUGGUUGUCAAAGUUUUUUGCAGAAAUAUAAAAAUAAAGUGGUCAAUAGUCUGCUCUCUGGAGACAAAGCAGGGACCAUCUGUAUCAAAUUAAAACUGUGCAAAAAGAUGGACAUGCAAACUAUACAGUAAUGUGAAUGCUUCAAGUAUAGAAUUGCAUUGUCAUUUAUGUUAUAAUUUGUUACACAUGACAAUAAAAUUAAAGCUCAAUAAUAAUCAGUUCUAGUGAGUUUGUUUUCAGUUUUCUUGGGGUAACUAAGAGUGUCCUCUACAGGUGAUUUUGGGAGCAAAUAUCAAACCAGUUGUUUUUAUUGUUAUAACUUUGCGUGUGUGUGUGUUAAAAUAGAGUGUUUUAGCAUAUGUAACUGAUACAGUGAACACAAUCAUUAAAUACAGCGGGGAAAAUAUUUAUUUGAUCCCCUACUGAUUUUGUAAGUUUGCCCACUUACAAAGAAAUGAAGGGUCUGUAAUUUUUAUUGUAGGAUUAUUUUAAAGGAUAGAGACAGAAUACCAACCAAAAAAAUCUAGAAAAAACAAAAACACAUUAUAAAAAGGUUAGAGAUUGAUUUGCAUUUCAGUGAGUGAAAUAAGUAUUUGAUCCCCUACCAACCAGCAAGAAUUCUGACUCCCACAGAUUGGUUAUGUGCACAUGUGGAACCCAGAUUAGUCCUGUCACUUUAAGAAGUUACUCCUAAUGUCAGUUCGUUAGGCGUGUAAGACACCUGUCCACACAAUCUGUAUUUUCCAUUCUAACCUCUCCCACCUCCAUGGGCAAGACCUUAGAGCUGUCAAAGUAUGUCAGAGACAAGCGCUGCAUCCGAAAACUUAGGCAGCUGACUUGGUGCCUCGCUGCUGUACGAGGCAACGACUUU